rnacentral:rRNA from 1 species
CAGUAGCCGCGGUAAUACAGAGGGUGCGAGCGUUAAUCGGAUUUACUGGGCGUAAAGCGUGCGUAGGCGGCUUUUUAAGUCGGAUGUGAAAUCCCUGAGCUUAACUUAGGAAUUGCAUUCGAUACUGGGAAGCUAGAGUAUGGGAGAGGAUGGUAGAAUUCCAGGUGUAGCGGUGAAAUGCGUAGAGAUCUGGAGGAAUACCGAUGGCGAAGGCAGCCAUCUGGCCUAAUACUGACGCUGAGGUACGAAAGCAUGGGGAGCAAACAGGAUUAGAUACCCGCGUAGUCCCUGUCUCUAUACA